rnacentral:tRNA from 1 species
CGCUGGAUAGUGUAAUUGGUAACACAUCAGAAUUUGAGUCUGAUAUUCUCAGUUCGAAUCUGAGUCCGGUGU